UUUCUCUCUCUGGAUAUCCCUGCCUACCUGAGGCCUUCUGAAGCUGACCAGCCCCUGGAUGGGAAAUUGCCUCUUGGAAUUAUCAAAUGUCUCAAUUUUAAGCAAAGAGGAGCGGUCACACAUAUAACCCAGGGUUCAUCAAAGGCCCAUCUACAUCAAAACUCUUCAUUUGGCAAAAAAAAAUCUAUCAACCAAAAAAAGAGUUGAAGAAAACAAACACCUGGAGCCUCCAAGCACGGCCCUGAGUGCUGCCCCUGAUUUUGGAUGACACCCUGCAGAAUGCAUGGCAGCAGUACCCCCACCUUGGUCUGUGCAGCUGGAGAUGGUGGGGGAGCAUGGACACAUUGCGUGAGAGGCUGCAGCUUUGCUGCCUUUUGUUCAGUGAACAAAUCCUAAAACUUAUUAAAAAAUUAGAAAUCCUC
ensembl:lncRNA